CAGUAAGACUCCAUCUCAAAAAACAAACAAAACAACAACAGCAAGCCACAUGCAAGAGUGAAGUCAGGGAAGCACCCACGUCCUUAGGUCCAACCCAGGUUGCAAGAAUAGUAAAUUGGGUGUCCCUCUGAAGCCAGUCCUUGCAGGAACCGAGCCCCCCAGAGGCUGGUUUCUCUAAUACCUGUGAUUUGGGGGAACUGGUACUUUAUUGUGUAUUUUGCGGAGGCGGCUAUCAUGUGAUGAGGAGGCGGCAUUAGGGAGAGGUGCACACACCAGGGACCACGUCUUUCCUUCCAGGGACUCAGCUAGGCUGUGCAUGACUGACCUCCCUCCCACUGCCAUAUGGCUUUGCUACAAAGCCGCUCAAAUGAACCUCCCUCGCCUCCCUGGCGCCUCUUCCCUCUCAUUUCAGAGCCCCUGAAUCCCUGCUCAGUAAGAUAGCUGGUCUAGUUUAAUGCUCACCAUUUCAAAUCUUAUUCCAUCCAAGCACCCCAGGACCGAGCAUCCCCUAUCCCCUCCUGGAUGGACCCAUCCCCUCCUGGCUCCUCCAUGCAGACACCAGGCUGGCUGGUGGAGGUGAAUGCACCUAGAGCCUCCAAGUCCUCUUCCAGCAGAUCCUAUCACUAGGGCACCACUGCUCUGUCCUCACCCUCAUCAUGGGCAUGGCUACUUGCAACCUGGAAACAAACCACCUAAUCAUCUCCUUCUUAAAAAUCCUAAAACUCCCUAGCUUGAAACUCAUGACUCCCUAUUAAUCUAGUCUAGUAAUGGGUACCUCCCAGAUGUCUAUUUUAAGAGUGAUCUCCAGGGCCAGAACCAGACAGGCAGGUGAGGUGCCCAGAACACAGAAUCUGAAGAUAUCAUAUCAAUGUCAGUAUCCUGACUGUGCUGUUGUACUGUAGCGUUGCGAGAGUUUCACUGGGGGAAACUGAGUAACAGGUGCAUAGGGUCUCGCUGUUCUUAGAACUGCAUAUGAAUCUACAAUGACCUCAAAAAAAGUUUGAAUUAAAAAAAAAUAAAAAUUAUUUAAAAAGCAGCCAUAGGCACAAAGUAUUGCUUUACAUAUUCUGGUAAGCCUGCAUUUCAUUUACCUUUCUGUUUUGGAUUUGCUUUAUCUCAUCUGCUUAGAUGAGUGAUCUUGCAUUUUCCCUAGUUGUGACCUGGGGUUCCCUGAGGAGGCUGAUUCCAGUAAUUGCUCACUGGUUACGCCUGCUGCAAACACAGGCACCCAGUCUAGGAAAAUUGGUUCCAGCAGCCUGAACAGACUAAGACAGCCUCUAAGGAGACUGCUCCUGGCAAUCGGGAAGACCCAGAAAAAUCUACGGAACUCAAAAGCAUUGGAGUGACCGAGUUCCUGAAGGAAGGGGCCAAGCUGCAAGACGGGGUGACACGGAGAAGGCAGAGGAGGCCAGGAAAUGGGGACAAUUGCCGGACUGCAAAAAUGGCUGAGUUUGAAUGCCAGUUCUGUGGGAUUCUUGAUUAUUCACUGAGAAGUCUGCCAAAAUUCCACAUGACAUGAAAUGGUAGUGGUGACGGAGAGGGUUUGGUUUGGGGCAUUAUUUUCACCUCUUCAGGGAGCAACUGGGAUCUGAGAAUCCAGCUGUGCUAAUUAAUGAUUAGGGUGCCUUUUCCUCCUUCCAGUCACAUUCCUCACUCUUAAUUGCUUUCUUCCUUUUUUGUUGUUACCUCGUUAUUUUCUUCUUCUGGCUCAUUUCUUUUCCUUUUUUGAGAUGGA